rnacentral:rRNA from 1 species
GAGCGGGUGUAGCAAUACACCAGCGGCAGACGGGUGAGUAACGCGUGGGAACGUACCUUUUGGUUCGGAACAACCCCAGGGAAACUUGGGCUAAUACCGGAUAAGCCCUUACGGGGAAAGAUUUAUCGCCGAAAGAUCGGCCCGCGUCUGAUUAGCUAGUUGGUGAGGUAAUGGCUCACCAAGGCGACGAUCAGUAGCUGGUCUGAGAGGAUGAUCAGCCACAUUGGGACUGAGACACGGCCCAAACUCCUACGGGAGGCAGCAGUGGGGAAUAUUGGACAAUGGGCGCAAGCCUGAUCCAGCCAUGCCGCGUGAGUGAUGAAGGCCCUAGGGUUGUAAAGCUCUUUUGUGCGGGAAGAUAAUGACGGUACCGCAAGAAUAAGCCCCGGCUAACUUCGUG